rnacentral:rRNA from 1 species
GAGUUUGAUCCUGGCUCAGAUUGAACGCUGGCGGCAUGCCUUACACAUGCAAGUCGAACGGCAGCACGGGAGCUUGCUCCUGGUGGCGAGUGGCGAACGGGUGAGUAAUGCAUCGGAACGUAUCCUGGAGUGGGGGAUAACGUAGCGAAAGUUACGCUAAUACCGCAUAUUCUGUGAGCAGGAAAGCGGGGGACCUUCGGGCCUCGCGCUCUUGGAGCGGCCGAUGU